rnacentral:rRNA from 1 species
CCUACGGGAGGCAGCAGUGAGGAAUAUUGGUCAAUGGCCGGAAGGCUGAACCAGCCAUGCCGCGUGAAGGUCAGUGCCCUAUGGGCGUUAAACUUCUUUUGUGCGGGAGCAAUAAUGGUCACGUGUGGCCAGACGAGAGUACCGUACGAAUAAGCAUCGGCUAACUCCGUGCCAGCAGCCGCGGUAAUACGGGGGAUGCAAGCGUUAUCCGGAUUUAUUGGGGUUAAAGGGUGCGUAGGCUGUGAGGUAAGUCAGCGGUGAAAUGCCCCGGCUCACCGGGGUGAAGUGCCAUUGAUACUGCCUUGCUGGAAUGCGGAUGCCGUGGGAGGAAUGUGUGGUGUAGCGGUGAAAUGCAUAGAUAUCACACAGAACACCGAUUGCGAAGGCAUCUCACGAAUCCGCGAUUGACGCUGAUGCACGAAAGCGUGGGUAUCAAACAGGAUUAGAUACCCCUGUAGUC